AGAGUUUGAUCCUGCUCAGAACGAACGCUGGCGGCAUGCCUAACACAUGCAAGUCGAACGAUGGCUUCGGCCAUAGUGGCGCACGGGUGAGUAGCGCGUGGGAACCUGCCCUGAGGUACGGAAUAACAGCGGGAAACUGCUGCUAAUACCGUAUGUCCCCUGAGGGGGAAAGAUUUAUCGCCUUAGGAGGGGCCCGCGUCCGAUUAGCUAGUUGGUGAGGUAACGGCUCACCAAGGCUUCGAUCGGUAGCUGGUCUGAGAGGAUGAUCAGCCACACUGGGACUGAGACACGGCCCAGACUCCUACGGGAGGCAGCAGUGGGGAAUAUUGGACAAUGGGGGCAACCCUGAUCCAGCAAUGCCGCGUGGGUGGUGAAGGCCUUCGGGUUGUAAAGCCCUUUCGGCGGGGACGAUGAUGACGGUACCCGCAGAAGAAGCCCCGGCUAACUUCGUG
rnacentral:rRNA from 1 species